rnacentral:rRNA from 1 species
CAAUCCCCUUUUAGAGCCCAUAUCGACAAGGGGGUUUACGACCUCGAUGUUGGAUCAGGACUUCCUAAUGGUGCAGCCGUUAUUAAGGGUUCGUUUGUUCAACGAUUAAAGUCCUACG